UUCGGGCUUGAAUGGCUCGAAAGUUGAAAUUUCUCCCUCCUCUCGAUCUCUUCCCCUCUUAGCAGUUCAUUCGCGCCUCUCUCACCUCUCUCACUCUCCUUAACAGUUUCCUUUCGUCUCUCUCACCUCUCUCACUCUCAACAAACCUCUCUCUCACUCUUGCCUCAUCCCUCUCUCCUCUCUACCUCUUCACUCUCGCCUCUCUCACUUGUCUCUUGAAGGAGUUCGAACCACGACGGAGGACGGAGGACGACGAACCACGACGAACGGGAGCCUGCGACAGCGAAUCUGAGGCAAACCUGAAAUCGCAAAGUUGGGGUUUACGUUUGGCGUCAAUUUUUGUAGAAAUUAGUGAACUCUGUGUUCAAGAAUGAAAUCUGUGAUUUUCCUUCAAAGUUAGGGUUUGGGAUUUGCCCUUAUACUCUGUGUUCAAGAAUGAAAUUUGUGAUUUUCCUUCAAGUUAGGGUUUGGGAUUUGCCCUUAUACACUGUGUUCACAUUCUGAUUUGUGACAAAUUUGUAGACAAAUUCUUAUUUGGGUUUGGGAUUUGCCCUUAUUAGAUUGAUCUAUUGUCAAAUGUUCACAUUCUGAUUUAAUAGCCUUUAAUUUGUGACAAAUUUUUCCCAAUCUUGAAAAAUCCUAUUCAUACAUCCAUGCUGUUUUGUUUUUUGUAUAUUUAGAAUUACACUUUGGAUGAUGAAUUUGAAUUGGGAAUUGCAAAAAGGUAAAGGGAAAUUGAGAAAAAAUUUAACUUAUAUUUCAUUUAUAUUUGUCUCAUUUUCUCCUUCUAUUUAUUUUAUUUUUUCAAAUAUCUACCUAAAUUCAUAAUCUAAACACUAUCUCACUAUGAAAAUUUUUAUAAAAAUUGUGAAACAUUUUAUAUUUAUGGUGCAUCAGAGAGAGAGAGAGAACCAACCUUGUGAAAUAAGCUAUUGGAGCAAUAACUAGGGUAGCUAUGGCUUGCCUAUAGGCCACAAAAACCCUAGGGCUCAUUCCUUGCAAAAGAGCAUCUCUGGUUGUUAAAGAAACCCCUGCAUAGAUCACCUGCAGCCCAAACAUAACCAUUGCAGGCUUAUAAUCAUGUAAGUCAUCCAUUUUUUCCUUGCCAAAACCUUUGUGAGCAAUGUGACCAUAUAAGCAUUACUAUCACUUACAUAUAUAUAUAUAUAUAUAAGCUACCUUCCAAUACACACACACAAUGUGACCAUAUAAACUUUAGUUGUUGCUGAGUUGCAGUUGUGCUGCACAGCGUAGCGAAUCCUUUUCAAUUUCCAAAGCCCAAGUCUCAACCUUCUACCAUUGUUGAUAAAAAAAAUAUAGAAAGAACAUCGUUAGUUGAAUCUGUUGGUAUUUGUUAUGCAGAUAACAAAAUAGCUUUAACUUCUACUAAUAAUACGGACAUGAGAUUAAAGCCAAGGUAUUGUAAUUGUGGAAGAAUAGCUUCCAUGCGUAUUGUACAAAGCAAUGACAAUGGAAAUCAAGGACGUGUCUAUUUUGUUUGCCCAAGAAAAUAUACUAGGAACGAACACUACAAUUACUUCAGGUGGUUCGCAGAUGAUGACGACGACGACAUUACCUCCACAAUCCGUGCCACUGCUGCACCUCGGACAGAUUCAACAACAAAAGAAAUUAAUGAUCUAAGGAGAAGGGUUGGUGAGCAUGAUAGAAGGCUUCAAAUGAUGGAGAAAAUUUUCAAGGGAAUGACUUAUGUAAUUGUAUUUUUUUGUAUUUUUGUACUUUAUCAUGUAAAUGACUCAGUUGUUAGGUUUUGGAACAUGCUAUGACUGUAAUCUACUUUUCUACUUGUUUUGUAAUUUUUUUUCGGUGCUUAAAAAUCUGAUGGUUUGAAAAAACAAGUGUAUAACAGGUUUGUUUGAGAUGAAAUGUGUUGAAUGAA